GGCUGGUCCGAUGGUAGUGGGUUAUCAGAACUUACUAACAUUAGUGCCACUCAAGUUGGUAUUCGACCCCCCACUGCUAAAUUUGGCUUAUA
rnacentral:Y_RNA from 1 species